UCCCGUGUGGCUCAGUUGGUAGAGCAUGGUGUUUGCAACGCCAGGGUUGUGGUUCGAUUCCCACGGGGG
rnacentral:tRNA from 1 species